CUAGAACUUGAGGCGAUCCUCUGCCUCAGCCUCCUGAGUGCUGAGUUACAGGGAUUGAACUCGGAACCUUGUGUUUGCGAGGCAGGUGCCAGAACUACUGAGCUAAAUCCCCGGGCCCAACCUUCCAGUUUUCAUCUGAUGCUCCUAACAACUCCUUGAGACAGACAGAGACCAACAAGAAGCCAAAAGCUCUGCAAAAAAAGGGACCCCUCAUCUUCAGCCUCUUGCCAUCCCCCUUGCAUGAAUGAAUCUUGUCCAAGAACUGGGAGAAACUUCAGAGGGGAAGCUCGCAUGUUGUUGGAGUUCAUCUAAAAACAACCAAACAAUCAAAAAUACUGCAAGCGGGGAUUCCCCAUCCAUGGGAAAAAGAAUAUUAAAGUUCACUUCAACUGUGGGCCAAA
rnacentral:lncRNA from 1 species